GCCGCGGUAGCUCAGGCAGUAGAGCACAGCUCUGAAAAAGCUGGGGUCGCCAGUGCAAGUCUGGCCCGCGGCACAA
rnacentral:tRNA from 1 species